rnacentral:rRNA from 1 species
AGAUUGAAUGCUGGCGGCAUGCCUAACACAUGCAAGUCGAACGGGAGUAGCAAUACUCUAGUGGCGGACGGGUGAGGAAUACGUAGGAAUUUGCCCUUAAGUGGGGGAUAACCCGGGGAAACCCGGAUUAAUACCGCAUGACCUCGAAAGAGCAAAGUGGGGGAUCGCAAGACCUCACGCUUUUGGAGAAGCCUACGUCGGAUUAGCUAGUUGGUGAGGUAAUGGCUCACCAAGGCGACGAUCCGUAACUGGUCUGAGAGGAUGAUCAGUCACACCGGAACUGAGACACGGUCCGGACUCCUACGGGAGCAGCAGUGGGGAAUAUUGGACAAUGGGCGCAAGCCUGAUCCAGCAAUGCCGCGUGUGUGAAGAAGGCCUUCGGGUUGUAAAGCGACUUUAAGUUAGGAAGAAAAAACGUACGACGUACUAACACAGUAGAGUCUUGACGGUACCGACAGAAUAAGACAACCGGCUAACUCUGUGCCAGCAGCCGAC